GCUGAUAUAAGGCCCAGCGCUCUCUUAAACUUGUAAAGAGACCUGUAAGUUAUCUUUUUUCCAUCUCCGCUCAGCCCUACGUAGGUGAACAUCUGGACUGUGACUCUGCUGUUUCUGUGGCAUGUCGAGAGUCCUCAGUGGAUGGUCUGAAGGAGUGUGUGACACAUCUUCAUCAUACCUACCUGGGCCUCAGUUGUUCAGGUCACCUGGAAGCAGGAUUGGACACUGAACUGAACAUAUACGAAUAUUCCCAAACCCCUCCUGCAGGGAUCGUUCACGCAUCCUGCUGCCUGGUGUGACUUUAUACUGUAAAUGUUACCGGGUCUGAAACCACAUCUAGUUCACAUUUUAGAGAAAUUUACAGAAAAUGUUGAGUGGAGUCUGUUUUUUUUUUUUUAACUCUGGGGUGCUGAUUUCCACCUUUGGAACGUAUACCAGUAAACAUUUUUUAAAGCAGUAUUAUUAUCAGAUGUUUUUAAAAUAUGGGGUAGAUGUAAUUAGGAGUCAUCCCUCAGAUCACAGGCUUCCUCACAGCUUGCAAGUACAGGCAGCACACCUGUGCUGCCCCUCGGCAGGCUUCCAGAAAUGGACAUCAGAGCUAAAGCAGCUGAACUACGGGGGGCACAUACAAGACUAGAGAAGCACAAAUUAGGCUGAUUUUGACCUGCGAAGCUUCUUAUGUGAAGUCACAAAAUAAAAACUCUGCCUUAAGUAGUUUAAUCAGCUAAAUGUUGAGCACCCCCCGAUAAACCCAAUGCAGCACAGGACAGAGAAUUCAAUGAAAAUCAAGUUUUAUUAGAAUAUGAUGCAAAGCUCACUCAGAAAACUAAAGCUUCCUGUCGCUCUGUAAAAAUGUGUCUCACAGGUAGCUGCGGAAACACUCCGAGUCUAAAUAAAGGUUCCUAACACGGAGGUGAAGACAGGUCAACGUGAGGCAGCUAAAGUAAAAACUGAAAGUCUGCAGAUCACAGUGUCCUUUAAAAAGCUCGAAGCCAGUGAACUACUGAGGAAACAGCUGGAGUAGAGGUUUACAUUCCAGCUGUGCUGCUUUCACUGGCCCCACCUCACCGUGGUCACAGACACAAGGUCCUGUGUAAAUUUCAGCUACAAGCUCUCAGAGCUGCGAUGUAGACGAGACUCUUUCUAACGUGGCAGAAACCAAAGUGCAGUGUGAGCUCCACAGCUGAGCUCGCAUGAUCCCGCUGCACCACAGAGGAAGAAGUUACAGGUUAAAGGCCAGCAAGUAACACACCAUCUGAAUCCAAAAUGUUCACAACAAAGAUCAAACAGUGAUUUCACUAGAAUAAAAACCUCAGGAAAAGGACAAACAGUCCUCUUGCAAACCUCAUUCUACAAGAAAAACAGUUUAAAAUCAACAGUUUAGUGCAAACAAAGUCAACUUAAAUCCAAAAAGUUUAAAAGUUCAAUAACACACAAACAGUCUUCCUCUGUCUUUAAUAAGGAGUCCCUCAUGGAAGCAUUUCAGGGCCUCUGCUGUUUCCAGUAAACCUGCUAAUACAUUUAAAGCUGCGGCUUCGCCCAAACCUCCAGUUUGUGUCGUUUCCAGGCAGAGAGGAUGAAGAGCUGGAGGUCCAGACCAGGAAUCAUGUUUCAGGAAGAAAUCUGUCCUUUGAGUCUGCAAGCGCUUACACGUCAACACGUUAGCUGGGAAUCGCGGUUCCCCGACUUUGUUCUUUGUGAUCAGCACCGACUCUGAAUGGCGUCCUGAAAUUUCUCCACCAAAGUCGGAAUCCUUCAUCGUGAACUUCUUUGUUGCCCUAAAAAUAGUCAGAAAUGUGAGUGUGUGCACGGACGUCAGGAGAAGCGCCGGGCCAGCUCCACGUUAUGCAUUUGGUCCCGUCUUUGGAGUUUGUUUAGUUCAUGUGUGUGCUGCCCUCUGCUGGUUCCUGCUAUGAUAUGAUGUCACAUAUGUGAAGGUGUACGAUUGGACUUUACUGUAAAUGGUAAUUAGAAGUAUACUGGUUUUCAUGUUCCUGUGGUUUCCUGUUAGUGACACAGUGACUGAGGGUAAAUUUAGUGUCAAUAUGAGACGUGGCUGCAGAUGUUCCUUCUGUAACAAUAACGGGAACAUCUUUCCAGGUUUAGGCUGCCAUUCAGACAAAAAUAGAUAUUUAAAGAUGGUUCCCUGAGUAUUUCCUUUAAAAAAAAAAAAAAAAAAAAAAAAAAAAAA